GACGAACGCUGGCGGCGUGCCUAAUACAUGCAAGUCGAGCGGACGGAUGGGAGCUUGCUCCCAGACCGUCAGCGGCGGACGGGUGAGUAACACGUGGGCAACCUGCCUGUAAGACUGGGAUAACUCCGGGAAACCGGGGCUAAUACCGGAUAACUCUUUCCCUCACAUGAGGGAAAGCUGAAAGAUGGCAUCUCGCUAUCACUUACAGAUGGGCCCGCGGCGCAUUAGCUAGUUGGUGAGGUAACGGCUCACCAAGGCGACGAUGCGUAGCCGACCUGAGAGGGUGAUCGGCCACACUGGCACUGAGACACGGCCCAGACUCCUACGGGAGGCAGCAGUAGGGAAUCUUCCGCAAUGGACGAAAGUCUGACGGAGCAACGCCGCGUGAGUGAUGAAGGUUUUCGGAUCGUAAAGCUCUGUUGUCAGGGAAGAACAAGUACCGGAGUAACUGCCGGUACCUUGACGGUACCUGACCAGAAAGCCACGGCUAACUACGUG
rnacentral:rRNA from 1 species